rnacentral:rRNA from 1 species
CGUGCAUGAGUGGCGGACGGGUGAGUAACGCGUGGGCAACCUGGCCUGUACAGGGGGAUAACACUUAGAAAUAGGUGCUAAUACCGCAUAACGGGGGAAGCCGCAUGGCUUUUCCCUGAAAACUCCGGUGGUACAGGAUGGGCCCGCGUCUGAUUAGCCAGUUGGCGGGGUAACGGCCUACCAAAGCGACGAUCAGUAGCCGGCCUGAGAGGGCGGACGGCCACACUGGGACUGAGACACGGCCCAGACUCCUACGGGAGGCAGCAG